rnacentral:rRNA from 1 species
UACGGAGGAUCCAAGCGUUAUCCGGAUUCAUUGGGUUUAAAGGGUGCGUAGGCGGAAUGAUAAGUCAGCGGUGAAAUCCCUCGGCUCAACUGAGGAACUGCCGUUGAUACUGUCAAUCUUGAGUACAUUUGAUGUGGGCGGAAUGUGUCAUGUAGCGGUGAAAUGCUUAGAUAUGACACAGAACACCGAUUGCGAAGGCAGCUCACAAAACUGUAACUGACGCUGAGGCACGAAAGCGUGGGUAUCAAACAGG